GGUUAUUAUAUCAAAGCUCUUGAUAGGACACAUGUACCCUACAUAGUAGGAGAUAAAUCCUAUGGAUGUUGAACACCUGGCCCUUCUGUGAAGUUUGGAAUCACCAGGCAUAUGUCAAUGUCAGAAACAGUUCAUGCAUCCUCUGGGUAUCUUGGAAUGUCUUCCCCACAGACAGACGAGAGGGUCUACUGUAUCCUGAAUCUAGCUAAUAUAAAUCCAACCUCUUUAGCCCCUGGGAACUGAAGAGCUGAAAAACCUUCACAAUGCAGCAGAAGAAAUUACUUCAGCCAUCACCAAGACGGAGUCUCCUCUGGGGAAGGAGCUGGCAUUUCUUUAACAAUGCAUUAUGCCUCAUGGCAUUGGAGAAGAGUUUGAAGGCUGGCCGGCCACUCUGUUGUGGCAGCUCUCCCAAACCCUCUCACAUCACACUCACAGUUAGUCUUCACCCCAUAGAUUUUUAUUCUCUGAGCAUAACUUCUUACAAAUAAGGCAGCUUGCCACUCUGCCCUCUUGUCAGUUGUCAGAAGCUUUACUGAUUUAUGCUUUGGAAGUAUAUCUAGCUGCUUCCCCCUUACAAAAGUAAGAAAGUAGAAAAAGAAAUAAUUUCUAAACAGGGGCACUGGUCCUAGUUCUAUGUUUUUAAUUCCCUGGAAAUCCUUUGAACUUUGUUUCAGGUGCAAUAGCAAAAGUUACAUA